GGAGAGGUGGCAGAGUGGUCGAAUGCGCCUGACUUGAAAUCAGGUGAACUGAAAGGUUCCGUGGGUUCAAAUCCCACCCUCUCCG
rnacentral:tRNA from 42 species